AAACAGGGCUUCUGUCGAGUGGCACACGUAAAGCAGCUUGAUUGCUCCAUGUGCAGAAUUGACAUCAAGAGAUUUCAGAAGCAUAAUUUUUUGACAUUUGGGCAGCUAGUGAUAGUUGGUCCUGGUGCCCAC